ACUCUUACCGGCGGAUGUCUUGGCUCCCACAACGAUGAAGAACGCAGCGAAAUGCGAUACGUAAUGCGAAUUGCAAUUUCUCGUGAAUCAUCAAAAUUUUGAACGCACAUUGCGCUUCCGGGAUAUGCCCGGUAGCAUGCUUAUCUGAGUGUC
rnacentral:rRNA from 1 species